rnacentral:rRNA from 1 species
GACGAACGCUGGCGGCGUGCUUAACACAUGCAAGUCGAGCGGGAAACUUCGGUUUCCAGCGGCGGACGGGUGAGUAACACGUGGGCAACCUGCCUCACAAUGAGGGAUAGCCUUCCGAAAGGAAGAUUAAUACCUCAUAACACAAGAGAAACGCAUGUUUCUUUUGCCAAAGAAUUUCGUUGUGAGAUGGGCCCGCGGCGCAUUAGCUUGUUGGUGAGGUAACGGCUCACCAAGGCUUCGAUGCGUAGCCGACCUGAGAGGGUGAUCGGCCACGUUGGAACUGAGACACGGUCCAGACUCCUACGGGUGGCAGCAGUGGGGAAUAUUGCACAAUGGAGGAAACUCUGAUGCAGCAACGCCGCGUGAGUGAUGAAGGUCUUCGGGUUGUAAAGCUCUGUCUUCUGGGACGAUAAUGACGGUACCAGAGGAGGAAGCCACGGCUAACUACGUGCCAGCCGCCGCAGUAA